rnacentral:rRNA from 1 species
UACGGAAGGGGCAAGCGUUGUUCGGAAUCACUGGGCGUAAAGGGCGCGUAGGCGGGGAGGUAAGUCGGGUGUGAAAUCCCUCGGCCCAACUGAGGAACUGCGCCCGAGACUGCUUCUCUUGAGUCCCGGAGAGGAAGAUGGAAUUCCCGGUGUAGCGGUGAAAUGUGUAGAGAUCGGGAGGAACACCGGUGGCGAAGGCGGUCUUCUGGACGGUGACUGACGCUGAGGCGCGAAAGCGUGGGGAGCAAACGGG